rnacentral:rRNA from 1 species
AUACGAGCUCGUUUCACGUGACUGGAGUUCAGACGUGUGCUCUUCCGAUCUUGGAGGGACGCAGGAAGAUAGGCGGGCCGGGUGUUGGAUAUCCCGGUGCAAGCGUGUAGGAAUAUCCGGUAGGCAAAUCCGCCGGACGAAUCUGAGACGCGAGUCCGUGGGCGCAAGCCCUGAAGCCGUUGAGUCUAUGCUGCCUAGAAAAGCUCCUAAGUUUAUCCACAGCAAUCCGUACCGCAAACCAACUCAGGUGGGUGGGAUGAACAAUCCAAGGCGCUCGAGAGAACUCUGGCCAAGGAACUCGGCAAAAUAACCCCGUAACUUCGGAAGAAGGGGUGCUCUCUAGGGUGACAUGUUUAACAUAUGAAGCCCCGGGGAGCCGCAGUGAAUUGGUGGUGGCGACUGUUUACUAAAAACAUAGGUCUGUGCGAAGUCCUAAAGACGACGUAUACGGACUGACGCCUGCCCGGUGCUGGAAGGUUAAAAGGAGGGGUCAGCGCAAGCAAAGCUCCGAAUUGAAGCCCCAGUAAACGGCGGCCGUAACUAUAACGGUCCUAAGGUAGCGAAAUUCCUUGUCGGGUAAGUUCCGACCUGCACGAAUGGCGUAACGAUCUCCACACUGUCUCGGCCAGAGACUCGGUGAAAUUGCAGUCGCGGUGAAAAUUCCGUGUACCCGCAGAAAGACGGAAAGACCCUGUGCACCUUUACUAUAGCUUGACAUUGGAUUUUGGGCCUGCAUGUGUAGGAUAGGUGGGAGGCUGUGAACCCUGUACGCCAGUAUGGGGGGAGCCAUCCUUGAAAUACCACCCUUGCAUGUUUAAGAUCCUAACUUCUUCCGGUUAUCCCGGAGAAAGACAGUGUCUGGCGGGUAGUUUGACUGGGGCGGUCGCCUCCUAAAGUGUAACGGAGGCAUGCAAAGGUUCCCUCAGCCUGAUCGGAAACCAGGCGCUGAGUGCAAACGCAUAAGGGAGCUUGACUGUAAGAGAGACAUCUCGAACAGGAACGAAAGUUGGCGUUAGUGAUCCGGUGGUCCCGUAUGGAAGGGCCAUCGCUCAUUGGAUAAAAGGUACGCCGGGGAUAACAGGCUGAUCGCAUCCAAGAGAUCGGAAGAGCGUCGUGUAGGGAAA